GGAGGAAUGCCCGAGAUGGCUGAAGGGGUACGAUUGGAAAUCGUAUGUGCGGCUUGAAACCGUACCUAGGGUUCGAAUCCCUAUUCCUCCGCCA
rnacentral:tRNA from 1 species